AAGUCGUAACAAGGUUUCCGUAGGUGAACCUGCGGAAGGAUCAUUAAAUAAUUUAGAUGGCCUCCUAGAACUUGUUCUAGUUAGGUUCAUUCUUUUUUACUGUGAACUGUUUUAAUUUUCAGUGUUUGAGGAAUGUCUUUUAGUCAUAGGGAUAGACUAUUAGAAUGUUAACCGAGCUGAAGUCAGGUUUAGACCUGGUAUCCUAUUAAUUAUUUACCAAAAGAAUUCAGUAUUAUUAUUGUAACAUAAGCGUAAAAAACUUAUAAAACAACUUUUAACAACGGAUCUCUUGGUUCUC
rnacentral:misc_RNA from 1 species